AGCCUGAUGCCAAUAAAAAGGUCAAUACAAAGAAUGAGGCAUAUACCAAGGAGUCCAAUGACAAGAAUGAGGAUGAUACCACAACAAAAGAGGU